rnacentral:tRNA from 1 species
GGCUUGCUGGUCGAGGACUAUGAUUCUUGCUUCGGGUGCAAGAGGUCCUAGGUCCAAAUCCUGGACGAGCCC